rnacentral:rRNA from 2 species
ACGCCAGUCUGCGUGGAGCCGACCUUGAAAUACCACCCUUUAAUGUUUGAUGUUCUAACGUGGACCCGUAAUCCGGGUUGCGGACAGUGUCUGGUGGGUAGUUUGACUGGGGCGGUCUCCUCCUAAAGAGUAACGGAGGAGCACGAAGGUUGGCUAAUCCUGGUCGGACAUCAGGAGGUUAGUGCAAUGGCAUAAGCCAGCUUGACUGCGAGCGUGACGGCGCGAGCAGGUGCGAAAGCAGGUCAUAGUGAUCCGGUGGUUCUGAAUGGAAGGGCCAUCGCUCAACGGAUAAAAGGUACUCCGGGGAUAACAGGCUGAUACCGCCCAAGAGUUCAUAUCGACGGCGGUGUUUGGCACCUCGAUGUCGGCUCAUCACAUCCUGGGGCUGAAGUAGGUCCCAAGGGUAUGGCUGUUCGCCAUUUAAAGUGGUACGCGAGCUGGGUUUAGAACGUCGUGAGACAGUUCGGUCCCUAUCUGCCGUGGGCGCUGGAGAACUGAGGGGGGCUGCUCCUAGUACGAGAGGACCGGAGUGGACGCAUCACUGGUGUUCGGGUUGUCAUGCCAAUGGCACUGCCCGGUAGCUAAAUGCGGAAGAGAUAAGUGCUGAAAGCAUCUAAGCACGAAACUUGCCCCGA